rnacentral:rRNA from 1 species
AAUGAACGUUGGCGGCAUGGAUUAGGCAUGCAAGUCGAGCGAGAAGUGUAGCAAUACACGGAAAGCGGCGGAAGGGAGAGUAAUACGUGGGAAUCUGCCCUUAGACCUGGGAUAGCAGCGGGAAACUGCCGGUAAUACCAGAUAAUGUCUAUGGACCAAAGGUGUGAUUCCGUCUAGGGAUGAGCCCACGUCCUAUUAGCUAGUUGGUAGGGUAAUGGCCUACCAAGGCGAUGAUGGGUAGCGGGUGUGAGAGCAUGACCCGCCUCACUGGGACUGAGACACUGCCAAGACACCUACGGGUGGCUGCAGUCGAGAAUCUUCGGCAAUGGGCGCAGGCCUGACCGAGCGAUGCCGCGUGCGGGAUGAAGGCCUUCGGGUUGUAAACCGCUGUCGAGGGGGAGCAACUUCCAUAGAGUUAUCUUUAUGGAUUGAGUGAUCCCUGGAGGAAGGACGGGCUAAGUUCGUGCCAGCCGCCGCCGUAACAC